rnacentral:rRNA from 1 species
UACGUAGGGACCGAGCGUUGUCCGGAAUCAUUGGGCGUAAAGAGCGUGUAGGCGGCCCCUUAAGUCCUGCGUGAAAUCCUGCGGCUCAACCGCAGACGGCCGUGGGAAACUGGAGGGCUAGAGUGCGGGAGAGGAGAGUGGAAUUCCCGGUGUAGCGGUGAAAUGCGCAGAUAUCGGGAAGAACACCCGUGGCGAAGGCGGCUCUCUGGAACGCAACUGACGCUGAGACGCGAAAGCGUGGGGAGCAAACAGG